GGAAAAAAACACAGUCCAAGUCAAAAACCAAAUUAUAGAUCCAGGGGUAGGAGGGAAAACGCCUUUAACGGGAAUUGGGCUAAUUUCCUUAAUAUGUCAAGCGCUCCUAGAAAACAAUAACUCCCAACAACUCAAUGGAAAAACGGCUGAAGAAUACGAAUGGCAAAUGGCUUUUAAACCUGUGCGUGUUUACAGCAAAUACAGACUUGCCCCGUCUCGAAAGGGUUAUAUGAGUGGCAAAAAUAACCGAUGUAGAGAUAAAUCCGACAAAACUACUGAUGUGUUCGAUUUCACUUGUAGGAAACUCGAGCAAAGCUACAAUGAAAUAUUAUUUCACGCCUGCCGGGUCUGCAAAAUCAAGCGUCGGGGCUGGGGGCCAUGGGCCCCUCCUCGUCCGCGCGGGCUCGAGGCUAGGACCUGUGCUAGGGACCUGGGGAAAGGGCCCUUUGACCUAGCAGCCCUGCACUGAAGAAUUCGGUGUCCGGGAAUAUUCCUCCUUGUGUGUCCUUGGGCGUCGAGGGGACAAGGCUGUCCCUGUGCGAGGAUCGUCCGCGGGGCAUCGCGUGCUACAAAAACGCUGGAAAGAACCUGACUUCCCACCGACAGGAGACGGCCCGGCAAUCAGGACCCGGGCCCGCACCUGCGCGGCGAGAAGGCGCCACUGCCACGCCGCGUGCACACUCCGGAGGUCCCCGCGCACACGGGACAGGUGAGGACUGCCCGGGCGGGGCGCCCUGGGGUCGGGCUGGCGGGGAUGCCAGGUGUUCACCCGACGCGCCAGGUCUUGCUCUGUGCGUCUGAAAACAUGUUUGUUCCGAUUCUAAACCAGGUGUUUUCAACGUCGUGCGCCUGCGGAGCGCUUGAUCUCGGGGGCUUGGGGUCUGGUGGGGCCAAGACCACAGGCUCUGCGGCAAGGGGCGGGGCUGGAGGCAGAGCAGCCGAGAAACACCAGCACAGGGCCCCGUCGGCGCGUCGGCCGCCAAGCCAAGCUGUGCAAAGGCCCUGUGGCGGAGGGCAGAGGAGCGCGGGGCCCACGGCCCCCUCUCCGGCGAGUUCACUUCCCGGCCCCACUCGGGCCCGCGGCGCCGCCCAUUGCCGGGACCGGCCCGUGGGGCUCGGAGGGGGCGGGCGAGGCCCCGUCGAGCAGGCGGCGCCCCGGGCCCGAGAGCGGCCGCACGCCCCGGCCACGCCGCCCCACGGGAGGCCGAGGCGCGCAGGGGCACGCGGGCCGGGCUGCGGGGUCCGAGCCGCCGCCACUUACCGCCGCGGCCGCCACCUCCUCCCGGGUCGGGUCGGUCGCCUCAGCCGCCGCGGCGCGCGGAGCCCGCCACUUCCGCUUCCGCCCUGGCCGCGCCCCCUCGGCGGCGACCCCGCCCCCAGGGCGAAGCCCCGCCCCCUCUUAAGGGGGCCGCGGCCCCCAGGAAGCCUGGGGCGGGGCGGGUGGAAGCGGCCCCUCUGGGUGUCCGCCUGGCCACCGCCUGCUGCCGCAACACACGCAGAGUCGCCUCGGAGGACAGGCCACUUCUCACCCUGGAGCGGCGCAGAGGGCUCCCCAGGGGCUGGGGGAAGUCCAGGGAGACCCCGGCUCAGCCCUGUCUUCAACGGCAUCCCCGGAGGACACGCUGUCGGGGUCCUGGGAGUUUGA
rnacentral:lncRNA from 1 species